rnacentral:rRNA from 1 species
GCUUUAUAUUAAUUGGGGGGUGGGGGUAGAGGAAGCGUUCUGUUACUUAUUUAGUAUUUUGUUGGGGUGACAAAGAAAUAAUUAAACUUUCUUUUUUAAGAACAAUGAUUAUUGACUAAAGGAUCCGUGCUGAACGAUUGUAAGACUAAGU